ACGGACAUCUUGCUUGCUUCGCCGAUUGUAAACUGAAUAUCCUGCACAAGUUCGAGAAAACAACGGAUUCAAGCUAUGCAGCUGCUACAAGGUGAGAGGUGUAUGCAUCGACACACACAAACAUAGAGAAAGAGAGUGAGUUACCUGACGGAACUUUAAAGGUAGAGUGCCACCAUGCUCCUUUCCAGUUAUUUUGUGCACUAGAAUCAUUUCCUGACAGGGAAAAGGAUUUGUUUUUAUAAUUUAAGUCUUUCUUGCCUGCAUCUAGCCGCUUGGAUUUUUGACUCGCAAAAGUUGGAAUUUGACUAGACUAAAGUGCAUUCAAGCUCAAAUUUCGGUAGUUCAAGUAAAGAGACAGAAGCAUUAUUAUGAUAUGCAACUCAGAAAGAUAACCACCCAGUUAUAUAUAAGUUUUGAUAUAAAUUCAAUCACGUUUUUUAUUAUUACGGUAUUUACUUUUUAUCCUAAACAUAUAAACAAUAAAAUACCAAUUUGAGCUUUAAUGCAAGACCAGUUAGAAAUCCAACCACAAAUUUUAACGAUUAUUAAGCAUUUAUAGUGCCAUGAUGCUGCACUGAGUUCAAGCCCAAUGUCAAGUUUCAAGUAUUCAAAUUAAGUAGGUCAAGUUUGAGCACUGCACGAUGUUGACUUGACCUGACUUGAUUACAUCCUUGCUACCAUUAGGAAGAGAAAAAAGUAUUAUUAAGGAGCGGUAAAGUAAUUAAUACUGAUAAUAUAACCACAAUGAAAGUGGACUUUUAUCGGAGGAUGCGAAUAGUUAUUAAACACCCUAAAGAACUAAGAGGAAACUACAAAUGCUGGAAAACGAGCAAAAGCAGCAAGAAGAAUUAAAAAAGGUUUAGUACAAACUAAAGGUUUGAGUACAAACUAAAGGUUUGAGUAAGACCUAUUCCUAAUAAUCAAAGAGAAGAAUGAUAUUCUAAAAAAAUCUUAAAUUAACAGUGAACUUUCCGAAACAGUUUAAGCAUUCCAGGUAACAUUAGAGAAUAUUUAAUAUUAAGGAUGAAAUGAUGAAGUCAAUAUCUUUCAGAAGUGCUUAGAUUUUUUUGUCAAUAUUUGUAAAGCAUGAACUAGACAACAUCUUCCGGCAAAAAAAAAAAAAAACUAGACAAUAUCAGAGAAAGAAAGGUUUGACUUUCAAGUAGAUCUUAUGCCACCUUCAUGAUGCCCUUUAACACUUUAUUUAGUGCAUUAUCCCAUUUUUAUUUUUGUCCUUUAAAUGCAGUAACAUCCCUUUCAUGGCAUAUAACGCGUUUAUUUCAAAUUAACAAAAAAAGGUGCACUAGAAUAACUUAAUGCUAAAAAUACCUAAAGGAGCAAUUCCAUCAAGGUAUCUACAGUGUGGAUUCCAUGCAUAAAGAUCAACCAAAUGGCCAAACCUGUCCAUAAAGAGAAAAAAAAAACAAAAAAGUGACCAAAUAUGAAAGCAUCCACCAUCAUAAACAUUCCACUCUAUUUGUACUCCAUUGUACUAAUAAAUGGUCAAGGAGUUAAAACUUGUACUACCUGUCACCACCAUUUCCAUCUCUAUUGUCUAGCGGGUUUCCACCAUAAAGCCGUCCAGGUAUAGCAUUUCCAAUUGAGAAGUGCAUAAUGUCGACUUCAUGGCCUUUGCAAGUUUUUCUUGUGCAAGCAUCAGGUUCUUCCGGACAACCACCCAUCUAACCAUGAACACAUUUCUUGGAUAUAUUAAAACAUAGUAACUUUAAACCUACAGUUGCAACAACAAAAUAGCAUGGAAAACAGAGGAGCUUCUUACAUUGUGAUAGGUCGCAAGCUCGCCUAUUUGGAACAUGAGGGCUACAGACGGGCAUUUAUUAUUAGUGCUGCAGUGUAAAAAGAAGUUGAACCCAAUUAUUUACUCUCAAGAAAUAAGUCAAAUCAAAAGCAAUUUGAUAUUCAUCUUUCCGAUUCCGCAAUUCCUCAAUUAGUCUUAACGAAUUCAUUCAGUUUCAGGCAAGAGCCAGAUAUCAUCUUAACCACUAUUCUUAUUAUACUUUCUUUUAAAAAGGCCAUCUAUCUAGCUUUACGCAUUCUAAACUAACACGCCUAUGCUGACGAGUUCAAGAAGGAAGCCCCGGCUCAAUAUGUGCACUCAGGAUUUACCUCCUCGGUGCUAGCCAUGGUAAAUCAAAUGCUGAGUGAUAUAGUGGGAAGCAAACAGACAUAAACAACAUAUGAUAAAGCAAAUAGGCAUACUAUUGAUAACAAAUCAGCUUUAUUUAUUAAAGACAUGAUAAGAUAGCAAUUUCAUUUCAGACAGAAUUAUGCUCCACCACUAGCUACAGAAAUUUGAAAAUGGUAAAUAAUGGAUCAAAAGUAACAAAUUAAAGCAAGCACAAUAAAUCCUAAACAAGACAAUAUUCAAAUUUUGCUUAUUUUAAGGAAAAGGAACUUACCCUUUUGUGUAAGCAUAGGCUCCAUCAACUUGCAACAAGAAAAACACAUCUCUCCCAUCAUGCAAAGUCUAUUUACAAGAAAAAUAAAAGAAAUUAAAGAAAAACUUAAUUCUGGGGAAUGGGGAUCGACUUAUAGCUCAAAUCGUAUAAACGCUAGCCAGCAUUCUGCCAAACUCGUGGAUUCUAUUCCUCCCACUAGCGCUCUUAUCCUCAAUUAUAAAAAAGAAAACAGUUGUAUAAUCACAUGAAAAUGAUUAACUAACCUUAACUGUCAUUUUUCCACCUGGGUAUUCUUUAUCCUCAUCGGGGUCAAGGGCGGGAAGGAGAGAAAACGCAGAGCCAUCAAUGUCCUUCCAAUCAUCGGCGCGACCGUCGACGGUGAUGAGUCCCGGUCUGAACUCGGCUUGUAGUUGGAUCGUUGAGUCCGACUCGCAGCUCCACUCACCCGACUCCUGGUGUGAGCUGGCCCACCCGAUUAAAACGGAGCCCAAAACCAGUAUUACCAGGUGGAGUCUGCCGGGAACCAUUGUGAAGGAGGAGGAGAAGUUUCCUUGCUGUAGCUGUUAUUUGGUGUCGAUUUUGGUCUGCAUUACUUGGCUGAAUCUGCUAGCUUGUGGAAUAAAUUCGUGCUUGACUUUUGAUUAAUUUAAAAUAAAGACAAAGUAAAUUUUAAUUAUUUUUCA